GUGGCGGACGGGUGAGUAACGCGUGAGAAUCUGCCUUCAGGAUGGGGACAACAGUUGGAAACGACUGCUAAUACCCAAUGUGCCGAGAGGUGAAAGAAUUUCGCCUGAAGAGGAGCUCGCGUCUGAUUAGCUAGUUGGUGGGGUAAAGGCCUACCAAGGCAGCGAUCAGUAGCUGGUCUGAGAGGAUGAGCAGCCACACUGGGACUGAGACACGGCCCAGACUCCUACGGGAGGCAGCAGUGGGGAAUUUUCCGCAAUGGGCGCAAGCCUGACGGAGCAAUACCGCGUGAGGGAGGAAGGCUUUUGGGUUGUAAACCUCUUUUCUUGGGAAAGAAGUACUGACGGUACCCAAGGAAUCAGCAUCGGCUAACUCCGUGCCAGCAGCCGCGGUAAUACGGAGGAUGCAAGCGUUAUCCGGAAUUAUUGGGCGUAAAGGGUCCGCAGGUGGUCACUCAAGUCUGCUGUCAAAGGCGGGGGCUUAACUCCCGAAAGGCAGUGGAAACUGGGAGACUAGAGUACGGUAGGGGUAGAGGGAAUUCCCAGUGUAGCGGUGAAAUGCGUAGAGAUUGGGAAGAACACCAGUGGCGAAGGCGCUCUACUGGGCCGAAACUGACACUGAGGGACGAAAGCUAGGGGAGCGAAAGGGAUUAGAUACCCCUGUAGUCCUA
rnacentral:rRNA from 1 species